rnacentral:tRNA from 1 species
GGUCGCUUAGCUCAGUUGGUUAGAGCGUGGUGCUAAUAGACUAAGCCAUUGAUACGCCAAGGUCGCGAGUUCGACCCUCGUAGUGACCA